GGGCCCGUGGUCUAGCUUGGCGAGGAUGCCAGCCUGGGGCGCUGGUGGACCCGGGUUCAAAUCCCGGCGGGCCCA
rnacentral:tRNA from 2 species